rnacentral:rRNA from 1 species
UACAAAGGUCUCAAGCGUUGUUCGGAUUCAUUGGGCGUAAAGGGUGCGUAGGCGGUGGGGCAAGUCAGGUGUGAAAUCUCGGAGCUUAACUCCGAAACUGCAUUCGAUGACUGCCGUGCUUGAGGACUGGAGAGGAGACUGGAAUUUACGGUGUAGCGGUGAAAUGCGUAGAUAUCGUAAGGAAGACCAGUGGCGAAGGCGGGUCUCUGGACAGUUCCUGACGCUGAGGCACGAAGGUCAGGGGAGCAAACGGG